rnacentral:rRNA from 1 species
UGAGGAAUAUUGGUCAAUGGGCGCGAGCCUGAACCAGCCAAGUAGCGUGAAGGAUGAAGGUCCUACGGAUUGUAAACUUCUUUUAUAAGGGAAUAAAGUCACCCACGUGUGGGUGUUUGUAUGUACCUUAUGAAUAAGCAUCGGCUAACUCCGUGCCAGCAGCCGCGGUAAUACGGAGGAUGCGAGCGUUAUCCGGAUUUAUUGGGUUUAAAGGGAGCGUAGACGGGUCGUUAAGUCAGCUGUGAAAGUUUGGGGCUCAACCUUAAAAUUGCAGUUGAUACUGGCGUCCUUGAGUACGGUUGAGGCAGGCGGAAUUCGUGGUGUAGCGGUGAAAUGCUUAGAUAUCACGAAGAACCCCGAUUGCGAAGGCAGCCUGCUAAACCGCCACUGACGUUGAGGCUCGAAAGUGUGGGUAUCAAACAGGAUUAGAUACCCUGGUAGUCCACACGGUAAACGAUGGAUACUCGCUGUUGGCGAUAGACUGUCAGCGGCUUAGCGAAAGCGUUAAGUAUCCCACCUGGGGAGUACGCCGGCAACGGUGAAACUCAAAGGAAUUGACGGGGGCCCGCACAAGCGGAGGAACAUGUGGUUUAAUUCGAUGAUACGCGAGGAACCUUACCCGGGCUUGAAUUGCAGACGAAUUGCUUGGAAACAGGCAAGCCGCAAGGCGUCUGUGAAGGUGCUGCAUGGUUGUCGUCAGCUCGUGCCGUGAGGUGUCGGCUUAAGUGCCAUAACGAGCGCAACCCUCGUGUCCAGUUACUAGCAGGUUAUGCUGAGGACUCUGGACAGACUGCCAUCGUAAGAUGUGAGGAAGGUGGGGAUGACGUCAAAUCAGCACGGCCCUUACGUCCGGGGCUACACACGUGUUACAAUGGGGGGUACAGCAGGCAGCUACCGGGCGACCGGAUGCCAAUCCCGAAAGCCUCUCUCAGUUCGGACUGGAGUCUGCAACCCGACUCCACGAAGCUGGAUUCGCUAGUAAUCGCGCAUCAGCCACGGCGCGGUGAAUACGUUCCC